UACGGAGGGUGCAAGCGUUAUCCGGAUUUACUGGGUUUAAAGGGUGCGUAGGUGGAUAAUUAAGUCAGUGGUGAAAUCUUCAGGCUUAACCUGGAAACUGCCAUUGAUACUAUUUAUCUUGAAUACUUUGGAGGUAAGCGGAAUAUGUCAUGUAACGGUGAAAUGCUUAGAUAUGACAUAGAACACCAAUUGCGAAGGCAGCUUACUACACAGUAAUUGACACUGAGGCACGAAAGCGUGGGGAUCAAACAGG
rnacentral:rRNA from 1 species